GUGCUUGCUUCAUCAGCACGUAUACAGAGAUUAGCAUGGCCUCUGUGCAAAGAUAGCACACAAAUUCGUGAAGUGUUCCAUAUUGUU
rnacentral:snRNA from 1 species